UGUUUGAGAAAGGCCAUCUUCAUCCUACAUCUUUCAUAGAUUGAUAAACCUUAGGUCUUGAGGGAAAUUUGCCGUUGUCCUACAAAAUUCUGCACUUGGAGGCUCAACAACGUCUACAAGAAUAAAGUUUUAUAUUAUACAUCAAACUCUUUUCUGGCGCCAUUGCCGGUAGCUGAAUGCUUGAAGGUGCCAAGUGAAGCCUUGGGGAUAGUGUUGACACUUGUUUGUUUGAUUCUGUGCAAAAACAAAAACUUUUAUGUCUAAUAUAUAAUUUUUCUAAUUUUACUAGAUAGUCAAAAAAUCUGAAAUUUUUACAAAGUUUUUUUAUGCAAAUUUCCUGAGUUGUCCUAAUUUUUUUAGAGUUUUUAGAGUCAGAGAAGUAUGGUGUUCAUUCA